AUAUGAAACAUGUUUUAUAAAAUGUUAAAGUAUAUGCAGGUUUCAUGAAUGAGGGUCUAAUUGUGUCUUCUCUCUCUUCAUCAGUUGGACUCUGUUCCUGAGUAUGAGAACGUCUCACACACUGCAGCACAGACAGAAGACACAGAGGAGCAGGAAGACCUGGUGUGAAGUCCAGUCAGACGCUCACCUGAUGGAAACAAAGAAGAAGGACGUUGAAAUGUCCCUGAGGAGAGCGAGGCUGUGCAGGAUGUGUGCAAAGUGGAUAUAUUCACGUUCAACUCUUAAAGCUUUAAUAGUCAGUUUUCAGUAGCAGCAGCUUGUAGGUUUAGAAGAAUGAGCUGCUGGCAGCUUGAAGUGAAUCAUGUCGAGGUGUCAAACAUGAUUUAUCGUUAAGACCAGCCGAUGGUCAGGUGCUCUAUAUUACUGCUUCAACUAUGUGUACAUGCUUAUUUGUUAUAUGCAGAGUUGUUGAUAUUACAAAAGUCUCGUCAAAUUGUUUUAUUUAAAUUCCACAUAAUAAAUAACUUUGAAAAAUCCUCA